rnacentral:lncRNA from 1 species
AUUGAAUUUCGGGAAGAGAGCAUAAGGGAACAAAAAAAAGUGGGAAAAAAAUUCAAUUUCGAGAAGAGAACAUAAGGGAACAGAGAAAAAGGAGAAGGAGAGCUUUCUGAGGUAAGAAACGUUUUUUUAAGAAGAGCAAGAGACGAAAAUAAGCCAACCACACAGGGAAGAGGAAACAUCUGAGGUACGAGGCGAAUAAUAGUGAACGAAGCUCCAAGAGGUAAGAAUUUUCAUGUGUCAGUGAGUUGUUUCCUUGUUUUUGUUUUUUUGGUUUUUAUUUUCUUUUCCACCUAAACUUAUCCUAGAUACCACUAUCAUCUCCUAUUUGUCAAUUUUUUUUCUUUUUACUUUUCCUUUGUGUGCUUUAUUAUUACUUUUAUUAUUUUCGUUUAUUUGUUUUGGUAGUUUUCCUUUAUACGUAUUUAUUUAUAUGAAUUAAAAAAAAAGAGUAAAACCACAAUACUAAAAAAAGUAGUUUUAAAACUUUUUAACACUUAGCGCUAGAUGUAGUUUUAACUUAUUUUCUAAAUUAGACUUUUUUAAAGGAAAUGCGUAUGCAAGUAUUUUUUAUUAUUUCAAGUAUUUAAUGUAAAACCAUUAUGUAGAUGCAAUUAUUUUUUUAUAAUCUUGUUU